UUUUUUUUAUAUAAUUUGAUAGGCAUACACUAAUAUCCCUAAUUUCGGAUUUACCAUUUAUGAGUUAUAACAGUUUAAAGGUUAGACGGGAGGAGUAGGAAAAGGUUAUCAAUUUAACAUCUUAAAAUACAUACUAUUCUCUUCAUUACUCCUUUGGUCUAAAUUUUUAACUAUUUUGACCAGUGGUGCCGUAAUACCAAUAGUCAGGGUCGUCACUCUUCUUUUAAUGGGUGAUUGGUAGUGGAUCCAUGAUGGGUAUCUGAACCAUAUUUUUUAUCGAAUUGGUACAUAAUUUGAAUAUUAAUUAAGAGUGUUAUAUGAUAGUUUUUUUUUGUAAAUAAGGAUGGUGGUUUGUAUAGCUUGUAUUUGUUUGACCUGCCCAUCUUUUCCCGUUUAUUCAAAAAACUGU